AGCAGCGUGGCUCAGUGGAAAGAGCCCGGGCUUGGGAGUCAGAGGUCAUGGGUUCUAAUCCCAGCUCUGCCA
rfam:Ornithorhynchus anatinus chromosome 2, whole genome shotgun sequence.